ACUCAAAGGAAUUGACGGGGACCCGCACAAGCGGUGGAGCAUGUGGUUUAAUUCGAAGCAACGCGAAGAACCUUACCUAAACUUGACAUCCUCUUGACCGGACCUUAAUCGGUCCUUCUAAGGCUUGCCUUAGCAAGAGAGACAGGUGGUGCAUGGUUGUCGUCAGCUCGUGUCGUGAGAUGUUGGGUUAAGUCCCGCAACGAGCGCAACCCUUAUCUUUAGUAGCCAUCAUUCAGUUGGGCACUCUAGAGAGACUGCCAGGGAUAACCUGGAGGAAGGUGGGGAUGACGUCAAAUCAUCAUGCCCCUUAUGUUUAGGGCUACACACGUGCUACAAUGGCUGCUACAAAGGGAAGCGAUCUAGUGAUAGUCAGCAAACCUCAAAAAAGCAGUCCCAGUUCGGAUUGUAGUCUGCAACUCGACUACAUGAAGUUGGAAUCGCUAGUAAUCGCGAAUCAGAAUGUCGCGGUGAAUACGUUCCCGGGUCUUGUACACACCGCCCGU
rnacentral:rRNA from 1 species